rnacentral:lncRNA from 1 species
UAUUUAGCAUUAUAUUCCAAUACCUUAGUAUCUUAUUUCAUUCUGCCACUAGGCGAGAAUCCCAAUUCACAUUAAUGGAUGCUGCUCCACAUCAAUACUUUUGUUCAGAUAAAUUCCAUUAAUGCUGUCUCUACAGCUUUACUGCUUUCCUUUACACCAAUCAUACAGUAAUUCAUGACCAUUUCAUCAUUGGGAAUUUUUCCUCAUAUACUCAAAUCAUUUUAU